AGCUGCGAAGAUGGCGGAGUAAGGCGUGCCGCUGCAAACUGGCCUCUGGGCCGGGGGCGAGCAGCCCCCGGGAGGCCGAGUGCAUCUGUUGGACCGUGCGAGGAGAAGAAAAAAAAUAUCGGCCAGAGGAGAGGAACUAACCGAACAUUCUUCCUCCCUACCUUAUAGAGGGGAGUGGUCAUCUACACUAAAGCAAAGUGUUAGGCGCGUCCGUGCGAAGAGACCACCAAACAGGCUUUGUGUUCCUUAUCACAGGAAGAAAAUUUUCCUUGACCUUUAGGUGCUUUUAUAUUCAUCUCAAAAACAAAAUUCUGAACUCAGGACUUGGCAAGUGUCUCUAUGUUGUCUCCUAGAGUGGGUAGUCCUGCUUCUUUUACCCAGUUACUUUCCCGUUUUUGAAAUGUGGCUAUCACUUCUCUACACAUUACCUCCAUGAUUUGGAAUGGAAAAGGCCACUUUUCUUUUUGUUCUGCCUCUCAAAUUCAACACAGAGGAGCUCCUAGGAUUCCAGUUAUCCUGCUAACAUCUCCAGGAAGAAAGAAGCAACUCACAUGGGUCUUUUGCUGUUUGCUUAAUUAUAAAGACAUCAUUUUGCAAGCAGAAGGCUGAGUUUCAUUUGAAACAGGUGCUUAGGUGGUGGUAUUUGUGAAUACUUUUCAUUCCAAGCAAGAAGACUAAAGAAGUAGCAAGUAUGAAUGACUUCAGGGUUUAAAAAAAAUGUCUUCCAGUUUCAGCCACUACCAUGAUAAGCACAGUUGAGACUGCAGCAGUAAAUUCCAAAUAUGUGUUUCUAAUUUGACGUGAAAGAUACUAAAAAUUUAUAUUUGUAUAUUUAAAUCCUGGCUCAUCCUGUGACAUAGAUUUACUGAAUAGGAACAAAGGCCCAAUUUUAAACAAAAACCUAGGCCGGGUGUGAGCCACUGCACCUGGCCUGUAGUAGCUUAAAAUUUUCCUUGAGAAAAUUCCUGACUUUAAAAAUAACCCUUAUAUAAGUACAAGUGAUUGUGACAAAUGACGUAAAAAUGGCAUUCAUGAUGUCUGAAACAAGCCUAAAUAGAAUUCAAGAUUAGACUAAAUGAUUUUCACAAAGCACAUUCAAGGUUUUACAUUCUAUGAUUGAAAAAAAUUUUUUGAAAACUUUUUAUUUCAUUCUUUCCUGUAGGAUUUUGCUACAAAUAACUUUGGGAAUGAAUAAAGUGGAAUGGUAACUUUCCAGUGGUUCAGAAUUGAAUUAGACUUCUUGUGACUGUGAUGUUUGGUUUCCAUUGAAAUAUAUGAAGUGAGAUGUCAUAUCCUGAAUAUAGUUUGUCUUCCCCAAUUACUUGAUAGCAUGUCUGUCAGCCAGUAAAGAUUAAGAACAGAGUUUCUCUAAAUUCCUCCGAUUAUUCCACUAAGGCACAUUAAAAUACUUAAUUUUGGGAAACCAGACAUCACAGAUUUCUCCAUGAAGUCCUAAAUCUUCUUUAAAGUCAGAAUAGGUAUCUUAGUUACUGACAGUAUUCAGGUUUUUUUCUCCCUUGGUGAUAUGUCAUUCCAUCAGUGAAAAAAUAUUUUCUCCCAGGGAUAAGAAAGGUAUUCUGGUAAUACAUUAUCAUCAAUCCUUAAACAGUAACAGUCUUGGCACUUAUCACAAAACCGACCCAUUUCUUAUAACCAGAAAGAUUAUCUUAGACUGUCCUUCACAUUAUACUUUACCUACUGCCUUGUAAGAAUAAGAGUUGCUCACUGUGUUUACUUGCUGUCCUCCAUAUUCUCCAUUGCACCAUUGGUGUAUAACGUUAAGAGUUUCAUUGAAUAUUAUUUUAAGUAUUACAAAAGGCAGCUUGCUUCUUAAUCUAUGCAUCUUUGGGGUUUUUGAAGAAAUUUAAUUCUUUGAUGUAAAAAGGAACUGUUAAAAAAGUUGGAAGCUCUGCACCUGUGUAUAUAUAUAUUUUAGCAAUAAAGCAGCAUGGGCUGAGAAUGCACUGAAA
rnacentral:lncRNA from 1 species